rnacentral:rRNA from 1 species
UACGUAGGGUGCGAGCGUUAAUCGGAAUUACUGGGCGUAAAGCGUGCGCAGGCGGUGAGCUGUGUCCGAUGUGAAAGCCCCGGGCUUAACCUGGGAAUGGCAUUGGAAACUGGCUCGCUGGAGUGUGGCAGAGGGGGGUGGAAUUCCGCGUGUAGCAGUGAAAUGCGUAGAGAUGCGGAGGAACACCGAUGGCGAAGGCAGCCCCCUGGGCUGAGAUUGACGCUCAGGCACGAAAGCGUGGGGAGCAAACAGG